UUAAAUUGAAGAGUUUGAUCAUGGCUCAGAUUGAACGCUGGCGGCAGGCCUAACACAUGCAAGUCGAACGGUAACAGGAAGCAGCUUGCUGCUUCGCUGACGAGUGGCGGACGGGUGAGUAAUGUCUGGGAAACUGCCUGUUGGCGGGGGAUAACUACUGGAAACGGUGGCUA
rnacentral:rRNA from 1 species